rnacentral:rRNA from 1 species
GACGAACGCUGGCGGCGCGCUUAACACAUGCAAGUCGAACGGAAAGGCCUGCUUUCCCUUGUGGAUUGCGGGUACUCGAGUGGCGAACGGGUGAGUAACACGUGAGUGAUCUGCCCCCAACUUGGGUAUAAGCCUGGGAAACUGGGUCUAAUUCCCGAUAGGACUGCAGGGUGGUGCCUGUGGUGGAAAACGAUUUUCUAGUGGUUGGGGAUGAGCUCGCGGCCUAUCAGCUUGUUGGUGGGGUAAUGGCCUACCAAGGCGGCGACGGGUAGCCGGCCUGAGAGGGUGGACGGGCACAUUGGGACUGAGAUACGGCGCAGACGCCUACGGGAGGCAGCAGUGGGGAAGAUUGCAGAAUGGGCGGAAGCCUGAUGCAGCGACGCCGCGUGGGGGAUGACGGCCUUCGGGUUGUAAACUCCUUUCGACCGCGAGGAAGCCACCUGGUUGGAAGGGUGGUGACGGUAGUGGUAGAAGAAGCACCGGAUAACUACGUG